ensembl:lncRNA
GAAGGGCAGGGCUAGCCCUGGCCUGACUGGAGCCCUACCAUCCGCUGCGCACUGGGUGGUCUAGCGGCUACCUGACUGACUUCCCCAGCCGACUCCGUAUCGAAUGUUUACCUUUGCACUGAUUGGACACCGAGGUGGCAGGAGGUUGGGGCCGCCGAGAAACAGGAUUUGAGCUCAGGCUCUUGCUCCGGGCACACUGGGCAACAGAACUCGGCAGAUUGGCGAUUCCCAGCCGUUGGGGGUUGCAGCCAAGGUCUGCCCCACCAAGCCGUAAAGAGCCUUCCCCUGCCGCUGCCGGUGUUAACCUUUCAGGCUAAGAAAGUCCCCGCCGACACCCGCGGUUCUCUCCUCCGGAAUCAAAACCUCUUGGGAAAGAAUUAGCAUAACAAUGGCUCCAACAAGCAUUGGAUCUUACUGAGUAUCACAAGACGUCACAGUUAUUUAUAAUAAUGUCCUGGCUGUUUUCCCUGCCUGCAAUGCCCUCCUCUACCCGCUUCCACUCCUCACCCGUCAACGCCUCUCUGAGCCCUACCUUAACCACCCUAUUUGAAAUUUGACCUUGAGGCAUUUUUGGAGAAGGAUUUAAAAUGAACGUACCCAGCUGUGUCUCAAAAGAAGGGUUGAGAAUUAGGAAGAGAAAUUAAUGAGCAGGCGAUGACUUCAGAGCGCACCGCCAUCGCCACCGCCUUCACGAGCACCAACGCGAGGCUGAGGUACCACUGGGGCUUCCACCGCUGGUUGGCCUAGAAGUUCUUCAAAGGGAUCAGCUCCUGGAACCGCACAACAACAUCUUCAGCGGUGUGUCAGAAAGCAAUAAAAGAGGAGAUUCUUAUAGAAGGACUUGGCGUUCAUUGGCCAUGGCAAAUAGAAGACUGAAAGCUCUUCAUCUUGAAAAUGGGCUUCUCAAAUCGGGAUUGAGGACUCUGGAUUUUAGCAAUUAAGACUGAAGACCCAUUGAUUUGAUGAAUUUAGAAGGAGGAAUUUUAUUCCUCCACCACCACCACCACCAAGUUUCUGAAGAUGAUGAACUCUUUGCUUUGAGGUGGUUUCUCACUUGCCCUGGCAUCUUGCAGGAACUCAGUGUGCUAGAAAUGAACGACUUCUUGGGAUUACAGUUGCAAUACUUGGUCUGGGAUCAGCUUAAAAUAUACCUUGUAUGUAAAUACUGAUGAACUACUCAGGAUGACUAGGGUUACCUGACCUCUCUGUUUAUACUCUGGACAGUAGGUACACUGUGCUGGAGUCACUGUUCAUGGAAAGAGCUGGUUAGGACCUCUCUAUCAGGGAGUGAAUCCUCUGAAAAAGGAUCUGGCACAACAGUUUCAGUCAAUGCUUGAAGUGUCAACUAAAAAAUUAUUCACAACCUAGAAGUUGAGAAUUAUGUUUUAUUUGGCGGAAAGUUUUUAGGACUUCAAGCCAGGGAGGCAGCAUUUCAAGUAACCCUGAGGAGGCGUUUGCAACAAAGGGCAGGUAGUCAGAACAUCAAAGAUUACUGUUAAGAAAACCAGAAAUCCCAAAUGGAGUUUAGUGCUUUCCGAUGUAUGGGAAGAUGCAAGAAUCUGGGCUCACUGAAAUCAUUCUUUUGAUAUGCACCUAAGCUAUCUGGGGCCAGUAUCCAGUGUUUUCACAUCCUGAGUUUCCUCAGGGCUCACCUUAGGGAGUGGCUGCAGUCUGAUGGCUGCUAAAUGGCAGGUAUUCUUUGUUUCCUUCCUGAGUUCCCUCAGGGGUCACCAGUUCACCUUCCUUGGUGGCCGCUUGGCUGCAAUCACUGAUGACUGUGACAUCCUUUGUUUACUGAUACUGCAGGCAAUAUUCCAUUUAUUAGGAGCUGUUUACUUUUAUGUAGUAACUUGGUUAAGAUUGCUGGUGGCUUGGGUUAGCUAAGAAGACAGUCUUUAGUUCCCUGCCUUAAUAAGAGGUGUCAGAUUAAGAUGUGAAAGCUUCAAGACUGUUUCAGUGAAUACCAUUUCUGAGUUCACAGUGUAGUUCAGGAAUUAACUUGGAGUAGCUAUAGAGGAAGAUCCCACAUUUCAAAGUUUGCUGUUGCUGGAUUUCGAAAUAAGUCAAUGAGCCGUGAAUGAAUUAAGACAACCUGCAUAUCAUAAAAAUGUCAAAAUACUGCAUCUGGUUAAAUAGGAGAAAAGAGAUUGCUUUAUUUGCCUUUUUUACCCACCUUGCCUGUAAUGUUUGUAAUCAUGAAGACGGAAUAAAUUUGUAACAUUUAGUUUCUACCAUAU